CACGUAGGGUGCGAGCGUUUGUCCGGAAUUAUUGGGCGUAAAGAGCUCGUAGGCGGUGUGUCGCGUCGGCCGUGAAAACCUGCAGCUUAACUGUGGGCUUGCGGUCGAUACGGGCAUCACUGGAGUUCGGCAGGGGAGACUGGAAUUCCUGGUGUAGCGGUGAAAUGCGCAGAUAUCAGGAGGGAACACCGGUGGCGAAGGCGGG
rnacentral:rRNA from 1 species